rnacentral:rRNA from 1 species
GAUGAACGCUGGCGGCGUGCCUAAUACAUGCAAGUCGAGCGAAUGGAUUAAGAGCUUGCUCUUAUGAAGUUAGCGGCGGACGGGUGAGUAACACGUGGGUAACCUGCCCAUAAGACUGGGAUAACUCCGGGAAACCGGGGCUAAUACCGGAUAACAUUUUGAACCGCAUGGUUCGAAAUUGAAAGGCGGCUUCGGCUGUCACUUAUGGAUGGACCCGCGUCGCAUUAGCUAGUUGGUGAGGUAACGGCUCACCAAGGCAACGAUGCGGAGCCGACCUGAGAGGGUGAUCGGCCACACUGGGACUGAGACACGGCCCAGACUCCUACGGGAGGCAGCAGUAGGGAAUCGUCCGCAAUGGACGAAAGUCUGACGGAGCAACGCCGCGUGAGUGAUGAAGGCUUUCGGGUCGUAGAACUCUGUUGUUAGGGAAGAACAAGUGCUAGUUGAAUAAGCUGGCACCUUGACGGUACCUAACCAGAAAGCCACGGCUAACUACGUGCCAGCCGCCGCGGUAA